GAUGAAGAACGUAGUGAAAUGCGAUAAGUAAUGUGAAUUGCAGAAUUCAGUGAAUCAUCGAAUCUUUGAACGCACCUUGCACUCCUUGGUAUUCCGAGGAGUACGCCUGUUCGAGUGUUAUGAAGCUCUCAAAACGCAAUUGGCUUAAAACCUGAUUGUUGUUUUGGAUUUGAACUUUGCCGUGUUAUAACGGCUGGUUUUAAAAGUAUUAGCUGGUACUAGAACGAAUUGGUUCUACUCAACGUGAUAAUUAUCUGAUCGUUGAGGACAUUCCCUUCACGAGGAAUGGCCAUAGUAAAUUCAAUGGACUGCUUCUAAUCUGGCUUUAAUUCUUUAUUGGAUUAACCACUUUUCAAAUCUGACCUCGAAUCAGGUGGGACUACCCGCUGAACUUAAGCAUAUCAAUAAGCGGAGGA
rnacentral:misc_RNA from 1 species